rnacentral:rRNA from 1 species
UACGUAGGGACCAAGCGUUGUUCGGAUUUACUGGGCGUAAAGGGCGCGUAGGCGGCAAAUUAAGUCAUCUGUGAAAUCUCCGAGCUUAACUCGGAACGGUCAGGUGAUACUGAUCUGCUAGAGUGCGGAAGGGGCAAUCGGAAUUCUUGGUGUAGCGGUGAAAUGCGUAGAUAUCAAGAGGAACACCUGAGGUGAAGACGGGUUGCUGGGCCGACACUGACGCUGAGUGCGCGAAAGCCAGGGGAGCAAACGGG